AGAGUUUGAUCCUGGCUCAGAUUGAACGCUGGCGGCAGGCUUAACACAUGCAAGUCGAGCGGGGAAAGGUAGCUUGCUACCUGACCUAGCGGCGGACGGGUGAGUAAUGCUUAGGAAUCUGCCUAUUAGUGGGGGACAACAUUCCGAAAGGAAUGCUAAUACCGCAUACGCCCUACGGGGGAAAGCAGGGGAUCUUCGGACCUUGCGCUAAUAGAUGAGCCUAAGUCAGAUUAGCUAGUUGGUGGGGUAAAGGCCUACCAAGGCGACGAUCUGUAGCGGGUCUGAGAGGAUGAUCCGCCACACUGGGACUGAGACACGGCCCAGACUCCUACGGGAGGCAGCAGUGGGGAAUAUUGGACAAUGGGCGAAAGCCUGAUCCAGCCAUGCCGCGUGUGUGAAGAAGGCCUUUUGGUUGUAAAGCACUUUAAGCGAGGAGGAGGCUACUUAGAUUAAUACUCUAGGAUAGUGGACGUUACUCGCAGAAUAAGCACCGGCUAACUCUGUGCCAGCAGCCGCGGUAAUACAGAGGGUGCGAGCGUUAAUCGGAUUUACUGGGCGUAAAGCGUGCGUAGGCGGCUUUUUAAGUCGGAUGUGAAAUCCCUGAGCUUAACUUAGGAAUUGCAUUCGAUACUGGGAAGCUAGAGUAUGGGAGAGGAUGGUAGAAUUCCAGGUGUAGCGGUGAAAUGCGUAGAGAUCUGGAGGAAUACCGAUGGCGAAGGCAGCCAUCUGGCCUAAUACUGACGCUGAG
rnacentral:rRNA from 1 species